AGAGUUUGAUCCUGGCUCAGGAUGAACGCUAGCGACAGGCUUAACACAUGCAAGUCGAGGGGCAGCACAGGUAGCAAUACCGGGUGGCGACCGGCGCACGGGUGAGUAACGCGUAUGCAACUUACCUAUCAGAGGGGGAUAACCCGGCGAAAGUCGGACUAAUACCGCAUGAAGCAGGGGCCCCGCAUGGGGAUAUUUGCUAAAGAUUCAUCGCUGAUAGAUAGGCAUGCGUUCCAUUAGGCAGUUGCGGGGUAACGGCCACCAAACCGACGAUGGAUAGGGGUUCUGAGAGGAAGGUCCCCCACGAUUGGUACCUGAGACACGGACCAAACUCCUACGGGAGGCA
rnacentral:rRNA from 1 species